CCUACGGGAGUCAGCAGUGAGGAAUAUUGGUCAAUGGGCGAGAGUCUGAACCAGCCAAGUAGCGUGAAGGAUGACUGCCCUAUGGGUUGUAAACUUCUUUUAUAUGGGAAUAAAACGUUCCACGUGUGGGAUUUUGUAUGUACCAUAUGAAUAAGGAUCGGCUAACUCCGUGCCAGCAGCCGCGGUAAUACGGAGGAUCCGAGCGUUAUCCGGAGUUAUUGGGUUUAAAGGGAGCGUAGGUGGAUUUGUAAGUCAGUUGUGAAAGUUUGGGGCUCAACCGUAAAAUUGCAGUUGAAACUGGCAGUCUUGAGUACAGUAGAGGUGGGCGGAAUUCGUGGUGUAGCGGUGAAAUGCUUAGAUAUCACGAAGAACUCCGAUUGCGAAGGCAGUUCACUGGACUGCAACUGACACUGAGGCUCGAAAGUGUGGGUAUCAAACAGGAUUAGAUACCCGAGUAGUC
rnacentral:rRNA from 1 species